GGAAGUAAAAGUCGUGGAAGUAAAAGUCGUAACAAGGUAUCGGUUGGUGAACCAGCGGAGGGAUCAUUACAGAGUUUACAACUCCCAAACCCCUGUGAACUUACCAGGGAGUAGCCUCGGCGGUGAAACGGUCCGCGAGCCCCCCAGAGGCCCCAACAAUGUUUUGUUUUUUUAGUAUUAUAGGAGUGACAAGUUAAAUAAAUCAAAACUUUCAACAACGGAUCUUUUGGUUCUGGCAUCGAUGAAGAACGCAGAAAAAUGAUAUAAGUAAUGUGAACAGAGAAUUCAGUGAAUCAUCGAAUCUUUGAACGCACAUUGCGCCCAGUAGUAUUCUGGCGGGCAUGCUUGGAGGAGCGUCACUUCAAUCAUCAAACCGCCCGGGUUGGUGGGGGUGAUCGGCAUGAAGCCCUGGCGGGUGCCGUCCCCCUACCAAAGUGGCGGGCGGUCUGCAGGUAGCAUCGUGUAGUUGGUAACACCCCUCGCAUGGAGAAGCAGCAAGCCCCGCCCGAAACCCCCACACUUCUGAAGUUGACCUCGAAUCA
rnacentral:rRNA from 1 species